UGAGUUUUCAGUGUCAGCUGAUUAAUAUCUAUACUGCAAGGUAGCUGAUAGAUAUGCAGAUAUAGAAAGUAUACUGCAGCGGAUCAGCAUUUAUUGGUCCGUCUACGUUCGGAUCUUUGGCUAUUGAAGUGCCGUCAAAAGUUUCAAUAUCAAUUUAAAUUGUGGGCAUACUCAGUAACGAACUAUGAUUUAAAAUAAUGAAGUAGAUUAUUUUGCUUAAUUUGUAGGCUACUUACAUGUAAAAGUACAGCUUUAAAAAUAUACUCAAAAAGCACAAGUACAAGUAGAAACUACUUAAUUACAAUAGCGUAAGUUGUAAUUCGUUACCUCCACCACUGCAUAAGUAGUACUGAAAGUGAAAGCCUCUAUAAACGCUCGUGUGAGAGGCAGAGAGAGUCAGAGUGGAAUAAACUCAGACGGUGAGGACACACAGACCGCAGAAUUACAACCAUGAAUGCUGUAAAUGCUGUGCAACUGUUCUUUCUGGUUUUGAGCUUUACUGCUGUCUGUCAAGCUGAUGAUGAUAUCAGUGUAAGCUGUGAUGAUGUGACUGGAUCUGUGGGGAAAGAAGUAACUCUCACCUGCAACGUCUCACUACAGAGCGGUGAUUGUUCCAUUAAAAUGUGUAUGUUUCGAUACCCUAAUGACUCAGCCAUCUGUGAACAAGAGCUUCUUAAAGACUCCAGCUUCGCAUGCCGCUACACUCCAACUACAGCGAUGACAGAAAAUUUCAGCUUCUUUGUGCAAACAAAUUGUGGAAGUAAUGCAACAGAAUUCACUGUGGAUGUAACAGAGUCAUCAUUAGACGAAGCAGAUGUACGUGAAGAUAAAGGAUCAAAGGAUGAUGGAUCUAUGGAUGCUGUCAUCAGUACAGUUGUGGGCUUAUCUGUCAUCGUCAUCCUCAUCCUCAUCAUCAUCUUAAUAACAAUAAUUUGCAAAAAACAAUCUUUUGGGUGCGAGAAAAGGAUGUUUCUGUGUAUCAAACAUGAUGAUGGCAACAGUAAUUGUCCUGAACAAGUGAUAUAAUAUUGAUUCAGCAAAACAAAACUAUUGACUUUUCUACGAGUUCUCAUGUGGUGCUCAUGAAACACACAAACUCUAUUUAAACACCACUAUAAACUACAUACUCUACUAUCUGUUGUAUCUCAAACUACUUAAUAUAUAACUCUGGAUGUUGGUUUAAAACUCUGUUUCUGUUUUAUACAAGUUUCUGUGAAAUAACAGCAUAUUAUUGAUCUGUUUGAUCAGUUUGUAUAUUUGUAUAUGUGACU
ensembl:lncRNA